AAGUCGUAACAAGGUCUCCGUAGGUGAACCUGCGGAGGGAUCAUUAAUGAGUGAGGGGGCCACCCCCAACCUCCAACCCUUUGUGAACGCAUCAUGUUGCUUCGGGGGCGACCCUGCCGUUCGCGGCAUUCCCCCCGGAGGUCAUCAAAACACUGCAUUCUUACGUCGGAGUAAAAAGUUAAUUUAAUAAAACUUUCAACAACGGAUCUCUUGGUUCUG
rnacentral:misc_RNA from 2 species